CCUACGGGAGGCAGCAGUGGGGAAUAUUGGACAAUGGGCGAAAGCCUGAUCCAGCAAUGCCGCGUGAGUGAUGAAGGCCUUAGGGUUGUAAAGCUCUUUUACCAGGGAUGAUAAUGACAGUACCUGGAGAAUAAGCUCCGGCUAACUCCGUGCCAGCAGCCGCGGUAAUACGGAGGGAGCUAGCGUUGUUCGGAAUUACUGGGCGUAAAGCGUACGUAGGCGGUUAUUCAAGUCAGAGGUGAAAGCCCGGGGCUCAACCCCGGAACGGCCUUUGAAACUAGGUAGCUAGAGUCUUGGAGAGGUUAGUGGAAUUCCGAGUGUAGAGGUGAAAUUCGUAGAUAUUCGGAAGAACACCAGUGGCGAAGGCGACUAACUGGACAAGUACUGACGCUGAGGUACGAAAGCGUGGGGAGCAAACAGGAUUAGAUACCCUGGUAGUCCACGCCGUAAACGAUGAUAACUAGCUGUUCGGGCACUUGGUGCCUGAGUGGCGCAGCUACGACAUUAAGUUAUCCGUCCGUCGGGUAGGUACGGUCGCGAGAAUUAAACUACAAAGAAGUUAGUACGGACGUGAGACGUGCCGAACGGACGACGACGAGGGAGUAGG
rnacentral:rRNA from 1 species